rnacentral:lncRNA from 1 species
AUGCUCCCGCCCCAAGGCAGCACAGGAAUGCAGAUCCCUGAGCCUUCAGAAGGCAACUUCUGCCCUGCCUGCGAACAGCCUAGGGGACGGGGGAGCCACCCUGGGGUUUGGAGGCUUGAGCUAAUGACAUACAGCCGCCUGGCUGCGGUUACCGGCUGCUCUGCCAAGGUUGUACAGCUGGUUGCCUGUGCGUUGGAAGAUACCAAUGCCCCCUGCUGUAUGCUGGGUUGCCAAGGGGAGCAGCAGUUCCAGUGGGUUUUAAAAAGAGCACAAUUUAUCUUUUCUCUGAGGCAGACUUGUUUCUUUGCUUGUGGCAGGUCCUGCUCAGCUCAGGUUGUGGUUACAAUACUGAGGGCUGAAUCCAAGCCUGUUAGAUCAUGUUUCUUCUGAAUCCCGCACUUCCCCUGACUGCGGCUUACAGGGUAAGUGGUAGUAUCUUUUAAAAAGAAGAGUACAGCACAGAAGAUGCAUUAGGCAGGGUUUCCAGAGAAACAGAACCAGUCUAGAUGUUUGUAGCUAACCCUUGAGUAACAUGUGUUUGAAACUUCUGGGUCUGUAGAUUUUUAAAAAUAAAUAUAUUGGAAUUUUUUGAGAUUUGCGAAAGAUUGAAAAAACUCACAGAUAAACUAUGUAGCCUGGAAAUAUUUUAAAAAUUAAGAAGUUAGGCAUUCAUGAAUGCAUAAAAUAUAUGGAGAUAUUAGUCUAUUUAUGUAUGUGUUAAUGGACUAUUUAUGCUAUUAGAAAGGCUUCCGGUCAAGAGUAGGGUAUUAGUAGUUAAGUUUUGGGGGAGUCAGAAGUUAUAGGCAGAUUUUCAACUGUGCAAGGGAUUGAUACCCCUAAUCCCUGGGUUGUUCAGGGUCAACUCUGUCUGUAUCUCUACAGUUGACCUUGGAGAAACAAAGGAUUUAUUAUACACUGAGCCAUUUCAUAAUCAAGUAUUAGCUCACAUGAUUAUGGAGGCUAAGAAGGUUUACCCUUUCUCCUGGUCUGGGCAUUUAUAGGUGGUUGGUAAUCAGUCUUCCAAUACAGCACUAAAUCCGAC